GAUGAACGCUGGCGGCGUGCCUAAUACAUGCAAGUCGAGCGAACAGACGAGGAGCUUGCUCCUCUGACGUUAGCGGCGGACGGGUGAGUAACACGUGGAUAACCUACCUAUAAGACUGGGAUAACUUCGGGAAACCGGAGCUAAUACCGGAUAAUAUAUUGAACCGCAUGGUUCAAUAGUGAAAGACGGUUUUGCUGUCGCUUAUAGAUGGAUCCGCGCCGCAUUAGCUAGUUGGUAAGGUAACGGCUUACCAAGGCAACGAUGCGUAGCCGACCUGAGAGGGUGAUCGGCCACACUGGAACUGGGAAACGGUCCCGACGCCUACGGGAGGCAGCAGUAGGGAAUCUUCCGCAAUGGGGGAAAGCUUGACGGAGCAAAGCCGCGUGAGUGAUGAAGGUAUUCGGAUCGUAAAACUCUGUUAUUAGGGAAGAACAAAUGUGUAAGUAACUAUGCACGUCUUGACGGUACCUAAUCAGAAAGCCACGGCUAACUACGUG
rnacentral:rRNA from 1 species